rnacentral:tRNA from 1 species
GGCAUUGUGGCUGAGUGGUAAAGCGCUUGGCUUCCGAACCGAGUGUUCCAGGUUCGAAUCCUGGUAAAGACC